GUCAACUACCCUCGGUCUUACGACCGAGGCUUGAUGUAACAGUCAAGCCUGGUUGACUAGCCUCAGUCUGCUGAAAAGCAGACUACGUUGGUAGGGAAUAUACAGGCACCGCGAGAUGUUGAUCCUGGUCUCGCGCUCUGC
rnacentral:sRNA from 1 species